GCGCCGGUGGCUCAGCUUGGAUAGAGCGAAAGGUUCCUAACCUUUAGGUCGUGGGUUCGAAUCCCAUCCGGCGCG
rnacentral:tRNA from 1 species